rnacentral:rRNA from 1 species
GUGGGGAAUAUUGCGCAAUGGGCGAAAGCCUGACGCAGCGACGCCGCGUGAGGGAUGAAGGUUUUCGGAUCGUAAACCUCUGUCAGAAGGGAAGAAACUACAUUGUGCUAAUCAGCAGUGUACUGACGGUACCUUCAAAGGAAGCACCGGCUAACUCCGUGCCAGCAGCCGCGGUAAUACGGAGGGUGCAAGCGUUAAUCGGAAUUACUGGGCGUAAAGCGCACGUAGGCUGUAGUGUAAGUCAGGGGUGAAAUCCCACGGCUCAACCGUGGAACUGCCUUUGAUACUGCACAACUUGAAUCCGGGAGAGGGUGGCGGAAUUCCAGGUGUAGGAGUGAAAUCCGUAGAUAUCUGGAGGAACAUCAGUGGCGAAGGCGGCCACCUGGACCGGUAUUGACGCUGAGGAGCGAAAGCGUGGGGAGCAAACAGGAUUAGAUACCCCAGUAGUCC